rnacentral:rRNA from 1 species
AGUCGACGGUAACAGGACUUCGGUCGCUGACGAGUGGCGCACGGGUGAGUAACGCGUGGGUUACCUGCCCAUAAGUGGGGAACAACUUGGAGAAAUCCAAGCUAAUACCGCAUAAUACCUUCGGGUUAAAGAGGGGGAUCUUCGGACCUCUCGCUUAUGGAUGGUCCCGCGUCUGAUUAGCUAGUUGGUAGGGUAAUGGCCUACCAAGGCAAUGAUCAGUAGCUGGUCUGAGAGGAUGAUCAGUCACACUGGAACUGAGACACGGUCCAGACUCCUACGGGAGGCAGCAGUGGGGAAUUUUGCACAAUGGACGAAAGCCUGAUGCAGCGACGCCGCGUGCGGGAAGAAGGCCUUCGGGUUGUAAACCGCUUUCAACAGGGAAGAAGGAAUGAGAGCUAAUACCUCUCUGCCUUGACGGUACCUGUAGAAGAAGCACCAGCUAAUUUCGUGCCAGCAGCCGCGGUAAUACGAAAGGUGCAAGCGUUGUUCGGAUUUACUGGGCGUAAAGAGAUCGUAGGUGGCUUGUUAAGUCGGAUGUGAAAUCCCGGGGCUCAACCCCGGAACUGCAUCCGAUACUGGCAGGCUUGAGUUUGGGAGGGGUAAGCGGAAUUCCGUGUGUAGCAGUGAAAUGCGUAGAUAUACGGAGGAACACCUGAGGCGAAGGCGGCUUACUGGACCAAUACUGACACUGAGGAUCGAAAGCGUGGGUAGCAAACAGGAUUAGAUACCCUGGUAGUCCACGCCCUAAACGAUGUCAACUAGCCGUUGCGGGUAUCGACCCCUGCAGUGGCGCAGCUAACGCGAUAAGUUGACGCCUGGGGGAGUACUGUCGCAGAUUAAAACUCA